GAUGAACGCUAGCUCCAGGCUUAACACAUGCAAGUCGAGGGGUAACGAGAGGAAAGCUUGCUUUCCUUGUCGACGACCGGCGCACGGGUGAGUAACGCGUAUCCAACCUGCCCCCAACUAGGGAAUAACCUUGCGAAAGUAAGACUAAUACCCUAUAAUUUCCUCAGAUGUCAUCUGUCGAGGAAUAAAGAUUUAUCGGUUGUGGAUGGGGAUGCGUCUGAUUAGCUUGUUGGCGGGGUAAAGGCCCACCAAGGCAACGAUCAGUAGGGGUUCUGAGAGGAAGGUCCCCCACAUUGGAACUGAGACACGGUCCAAACUCCUACGGGAGGCAGCAGUGAGGAAUAUUGGUCAAUGGGCGGAAGCCUGAACCAGCCAAGUAGCGUGCAGGAUGACGGCCCUAUGGGUUGUAAACUGCUUUUAUACAGGAAUAAAGUUAGCCACGUGUGGUUAUUUGUAGGUACUGUAUGAAUAAGGACCGGCUAAUUCCGUGCCAGCCGCCGCAGUAA
rnacentral:rRNA from 1 species